CUUAGCCUACGGGGGGCAGCAGUGGGGAAUAUUGGGCAAUGGGCGCAAGCCUGACCCAGCAACGCCGCGUGAAGGAAGAAGGCUUUCGGGUUGUAAACUUCUUUUGACAGGGAAGAGUAGAAGACGGUACCUGUCGAAUAAGCCACGGCUAACUACGUGCCAGCAGCCGCGGUAAUACGUAGGUGGCAAGCGUUGUCCGGAUUUAUUGGGUUUAAAGGGUGCGCAGGCGGGAGAUCAAGUCAGCGGUAAAAUGUCGGGGCUCAACCCCGGCCGGCCGUUGAAACUGGUUUUCUAGAGGUGGAGAG
rnacentral:rRNA from 1 species